CGGGAAUAAUUGGAACUUCCCUAAGACUACUAAUUCGAGCAGAACUAGGUAACCCCGGAAGAUUAAUCAUAAACGAUCAAAUUUAUAACGUUAUUGUUACCGCUCAUGCUUUUAUUAUAAUUUUUUUUAUAGUUAUGCCAAUUAUAAUUGGAGGAUUUGGUAAUUGAUUAAUUCCUCUAAUACUAGGGGCUCCUGACAUAGCUUUCCCACGAAUAAAUAAUAUAAGAUUUUGAUUACUACCUCCUUCCCUAACUCUCUUACUUAUAAGAAGAAUAAUUGAAAGAGGAGCGGGAACAGGAUGAACAGUCUAUCCUCCAUUAUCAGCUAAUAUUGCUCAUAGAGGCCCCUCAGUAGACUUAGCAAUCUUUAGCCUCCAUUUAGCAGGAAUCUCUUCUAUCCUAGGAGCAGUAAACUUUAUCACUACUAUCAUUAAUAUACGAGCCCCUGGAAUAUCUUUUGAUAAGAUACCCCUAUUUGUCUGAUCUGUAGCUAUUACUGCCUUACUUCUAAUACUCUCAUUACCAGUACUAGCUGGUGCUAUCACUAUAUUAUUGACAGAUCGAAAUUUAAAUACCUCCUUUUUCGAUCCUGCAGGGGGCGGAGACGAAAAGAACUUUGAAGAGAGAGUUCAAGAGUACGUGAAACCGUUCAGGGGUAAACCUGAGAAGCCCGAAAGUUCGAAUUGGGAGAUUCAUCGAGCUCGUUGCGCUGGCGGCUCGGCGUAUCGGUGACGAUGUGCGGUGGCGUUCGCUUCGGCGUUUGUCUAUUGCCGUUGCACCGUGCGUCAGCAUAUACACGUACGAGCGCGUGCACUUCUUCCUUAGUAGGACGUCGCGACUCAUUGGGUGCUGGCCUACGGCCCAGUGUGGAGACUGCGGCGGACGUUCCGACGUUCCGCUGUAGACCACUGGUGUCCUGGCUGGCUCGCUCGAUGGAAGACUAUAUGGCGCAGGGUCGCGAUUCGUCGCGCGUCCGGCCCAUUGCAAGGUGGCUGGCGGCCAGAACUGUUUACCAGUUAGUUUGGUCUCGGACCUAGUGCCGAACCGGACUCCGCCGCACUGUUGGCAGUGGUGUCCUCGGACAGACCUUUAUAAACGCCCGUCUGCGACGCUAUUGCUUUGGGCAAUUUCAGGGCCCGUCUUGAAACACGGACCAAGGAGUCUAGCAUGUGCGCAAGUCAUUGGGACAUUAAGCGAAACCUAAAGGCGAAAUGAAAGUGAAUUCGUAUCACUUGUGUGAUCGAAUAGGGAGGAUGGUCCGGCUCAAGGGCUGGACCCGCACUCCCGGGGCGUCUCGUGUUCAUUGCGAACUGAGGCGCACCUAGAGCGUACACGCUGG
rnacentral:rRNA from 1 species